ensembl:lncRNA
GUAAGGAGCAGGGCCAAAGACUAAGGCAGGACAAGGAGAAGGGCCUGGUGAGCAACAGUGCACGCAGCAGUGGUCUAUCAGGCCAUAUUCUACAUUUGCACAGUACAUCAGCAUGAAGACUGCUUAGUAAAUGUGAGUCCCACAAUUAUUCCUGUGUUGGGUUUAAUGCUGGUGGCCAUUGUGCUGCUCAGAGAGUUAAACAAGUUUCCUUAUAAUGAAUGCAGAAUAUUCUGUUUUAUAUGUAUUUUAUAUGAUACCGUCUCUGUUUUACUAUAUCUAGGUCUAAGUUCUCCUGACACACCAGAAACAUAUGAUUAUCGCCCAGUAAAAGAAAUGGGCACAGCUACUGGGAACAAUCCCUCACAGACCAUAGAGGAUACAACAAAGCAAACGUGCAAAAUCAAGAAAAAUAAGAAGGAAAAGAAAGAAAAACAUCUGCAUAUGAAAGUUAGUUAUGAAAAGAAAGAAAAGAAUCUGGAAGCAAGAGAGAUUGCUGUAGAAAAGAGAGAAACUCAUCAGGAUAGAAGAGAAAUUCAUCUGGAAGAGAGAGAAAAGCAUCUGAAUGAAAAAGAAACGAAUUUAGUAGAAAAAGAAAAGCACCUACAACAAAAAGAAAUUACUUUGCAAGAGAAAGGAAAGCAUCUGGAUGGAAAAGAAGUUCAGUUUGAAGAAAAAGAAAAGCAUCUGGAUGGAAAAGAAAUGAAUUUAGCAGAAAAAGAAAAGCAUCUACAGCAAAGAGGGAUUCAUUUGCAAGAGAAAGAAAAGCAUCUGGAUGGAAAAGAAGUUCAAUUUGAAGAGAAAGAAAAACAACUGUUUGUAAGAGAGAUUAAUUUGGGGAAAAGAUCAAAAUAUCUAGAGGGAAGAGAGACUCGCUUGCAAGAGAGAACAAAACAUCUGGAAGAAAAAGACAUUCUUUAGAAGGAAGCUUAAAGCAUCUGUUGGGGAGAGAGAAUAGUUUGCAAGAGAGAACAAAACAUCUGGAAGAAAAAGAAGUUUCUUUAGAUGAACGUUUAAAGCAUCUGUUGGGAGAGAGAAUAGUUGCAAGAGAGAGGAAAGUGUCUGGAUGGAAGAGAGGUUCAACUGGAAAAGAGGGAAAUGCGUAUAGAUAGAAGAGAGAGUCGUGUGGAUGAGAGAGAACAGCGCCUGGAGGGAAAGGAGAUUCAUUUGGAAGAGAAAGAAAAAAAUCUUGCACAACAUGACCUGAGACAUCUUAAUUCUGCAGAUAGAGAAAAUGAAAAACAGGAAAGAAGUUCAUUCAUGAAAAGUUCCAAGAAGCAAAAGAGAGAACAUCCUGAUGAAGAAGAGAAAGAGCACUCUGUUGAUGAGUAACCCAUUCAGUGUAGAAACAGACAGUAGACCUGUGCAUGAACACCGGCUGGAAGAAGAAACCUUCAGGUGGAAGAAGAGGAAGAAAUUAGUACCUUACCUGAAUAUAUACUGGAUCUGUACGUGACUUGAAUAGAGAUCAGAACAUUAUUCUGAUAAUAAUAUUUUUAACAAAGGCCACGUUAAAAUAAAGAGGACACAAACUCAACAGUCGAGCAUGAACAACCACUUAUCAAAACUACUUAAUAUUAUGUGUGUCCUGUGAACCGAGCAGCCAGCCAAAUUCCCAUUCCUGAGUCAGGCAACAAAACUGUAAAAAACAAACAAACAAAAAACUUGCUGAUACGACAUACGCCUGUGAUGUUUAUGUGAAAAAAAAAAAAACUAAUGUAAAAAUUAGGUUUUUUUUUUUUUUUAAUUUUUUUAAAAAUACUUAAAAAAAAUAUUUUUAAAAUUUAAAUUUAAGUUUAAUGAAAUUUAACUUUAAUUAAUUUUAAAAAAAAUAAUUUUUAAUACUUACAUACAUACUGUACAUACAGUACUGUGCAAAAGUUUUAGGCAUAUGCAAAGAAAUGCUGUAGAUGCCUUCAAAAUACUGAAAUACAGUAAAGAGCAGUAAACAGUAGUAAAUGACACAAAGUCAAUAUUUAGUGUGACAAAAAAUAAAAAUAAAAUAGUAGUCUCAGGUAGAGUUAGUGCAGUUUUAUAAGGAAAUGAGCUGUAAUUUUAUUGAGCAUCUUGCAGAAUGCCGCUUUCUUUACUGAUGAACAUUUUUCUGUAACAUUUAAUUUUGUGCUGGAAAACUAAUGUUUGGGAAUCUAAAAUGUGUUUGUACUGACUCGAUAUGUCGAAGUCAUCAAAUAAAAAUCUGUAACAAAGUUUGUACUAAAAAAAAAAUAGGUGCCUAAAACUUUUGCACAGUACUGUAUGUAUUUUUCUUUAGGUUUUUAGUUCCCAAAAUCCUUAGGCAUAUUUGUAUACUAAUAUAUGUAUUUUGUUGUUAUACAUUUUUUUAGAUUUAAAUUCGCAUUCAC